rnacentral:rRNA from 1 species
UACGUAGGGGGCAAGCGUUGUCCGGAUUCAUUGGGCGUAAAGAGCGUGUAGGCGGCCAGGUAGGUCGGUUGUGAAAACUGGAGGCUCAACCUUCAGAGGUCGACCGAAACCAUCUGGCUAGAGUCCGGGAGAGGAGAGUGGAAUUCCUGGUGUAGCGGUGAAAUGCGCAGAUAUCUGGAGGAAUACCGGUGGCGAAGGCGGCAUCCUGGACCGAGAUUGACACUGAUGAGCGAAAGCUAGGGGAGCAAACGGG